rnacentral:rRNA from 1 species
GACGGGGGAUGCGAGCGUUAUCCGGAAUGAUUGGGCGUAAAGCGUCCGCAGGUGGCUGUUCAAGUCUGCUGUCAAAGCGCAGAGCUUAACUCUGUACAGGCGGUGGAAACUGAAGAGCUAGAGUAUGGUAGGGGUAGAGGGAAUUCCCGGUGUAGCGGUGAAAUGCGUAGAUAUCGGGAAGAACACCAGUGGCGAAAGCGCUCUACUGGGCCAUAACUGACACUGAGGGACGAAAGCUAGGGGAGCGAAUGGG